rnacentral:rRNA from 1 species
GAUGAACGCUGGCGGCGUGCCUAAUACAUGCAAGUCGAGCGAACAGAUGAGGAGCUUGCUCCUCUGACGUUAGCGGCGGACGGGUGAGUAACACGUGGAUAACCUACCUAUAAGACUGGGAUAACUUCGGGAAACCGGAGCUAAUACCGGAUAAUAUAUUGAACCGCAUGGUUCAAUAGUGAAAGACGGUUUUGCUGUCACUUAUAGAUGGAUCCGCGCCGCAUUAGCUAGUUGGUAAGGUAACGGCUUACCAAGGCGACGAUGCGUAGCCGACCUGAGAGGGUGAUCGGCCACACUGGAACUGAGACACGGUCCAGACUCCUACGGGAGGCAGCAGUAGGGAAGCUUCCGAAAUGGGCGAAAGCCUGACGGAGCAACGCCGCGUGAGUGAUGAAGGGCUUCGGAUCGUAAAACUCUGUUAUUAGGGAAGAACAAAUGUGUAAGUAACUAUGCACGUCUUGACGGUACCUAAUCAGAAAGCCACGGCUAACUACGUG